UUCCUGAACAAACCCGGAAUCCACACAAGAGUCCUAGGAAGAGGCAUAGGUAGUCGUAGAAACUUGGGCCUGUUCUGCUGGGCUGAGCCUCUGCACCAGCCCAUGAAGGACACUUAGCCGUGUUCUUGUUUUGACUCCAAAGAAGGAAAAAAACACCACUUGAUUCAACGUGCUUUGCGUAGGGCCUGAAAUCCUCAGCCUCGGUGUGUAUGAGAUUUGGAACUCAAGAUGAUGUUCAUGGUUUUGAUGGCUGUUUCCGAAAGCACGAGACCCCCCAGUGUCCUCCAUCCAUGGACUUAUGAGGGGUGGAAAUGAAAGAAACCGUUUCAAAUGCAGCUUGAAAUUAAAAAAAAAAAAAAAAUCACAUACUUUUCUGUGUAUGUCAUCUUUUCCCAGAUGGAUCCGAAAUGAGCCACAUCAUUUCCCUGGUGCAGAGUUUCUGAGAGAAUCAGAGAUCUGAGAGCUGGGAGGGGCUUCAAGUCUCGGGGUAACCGGCGCCGGAAGGAGAAAGGGAGCCUGUGAACCUGGAGGCCAAGAUGCCCACUUUUCUUCUUGCUCGGCAUUGCCACUCCCGGAGAGAAGCGGCUUCGAUCUGGGUGAUGCCUUUGAGCUGUGAGUAUUAUCACUUGCAAAGAGGGAAAAGAGAAAUAAUCUGAAUACUUGGGAUUCCAAAAGUUGUCUUGUACCAGGUAACACGAAGCUUCCUAUCUCCUCUGACCAGACGUAGGAUAAGAAGAAGAAAGAGCGAAGGGAGAAGAGGGAACAAGAAUUGGGCAAUCUGAAACGGAGCCGGUCACCUCUGAUGUUUGAUAGGAGACCUUGAUAUGCCAUUAGAAGCCAUUUUGCCUCUGUCCUCCAAGCUUGUGGCCUCAGCCUCAGCCCUUCUCUUGCAUAAUUAUAGAUUGUACAUAGGUCAAGUAGGGGGCCAGCCCCAGGCAGGGGCAUGGGAACUUGGGACUCAGUUUUCAGGCUGACAUCCCAGAUCCCCUGGAGGAGGAAGAGAAUGAAGUGAGUUAAUGAGGCAGGCAGGGGAGGAAAGGCUCCUUAACACUCACCCAAGGCACUCAGAAACAGCUUAAAACAUCGGACAAAGUUUCCAGCUCACAACAGGUUGUGUUGUGUUGUGUUGUGUUUUCAUUUUAUUGUGCUUCCCUUACGUCCUUAUUGUUCGUUGGGCACAAGCUUGCCUUGACUUUACAGUCUACAAAGGUUUACAACCAAGAAAAUAAAAGGAACAAUUUUAUAAGCAUUGUAAUGGAUCCUGGUACCUCGCUGGAGCCUGAAAUUAGGGGUUUGAAACUGUGUCUGUUUCCCUUCACCUCCAAAUGUUAACAAAGUAGGGAUAAUACAGGGGUUUCCUUCCCUGCUGGGACACAACCCCCUGAAAUGCCAUUAGGGUGAAAACACUAGUGUUUGUCAAGAGCGUAAAGCAGUAUUUUUUCAAAGCAUAAUUUUUGGAAUUCUAGCCCCAAGAAAUGUUCUGCUGGUAAAAGGAUUCGUGGUCGGUGCUUAUUAGCAAAGUACGGAAGCCGUGUUACUCAUAAGUCUCCCCGACAAAGGUCUGGUUGUCCUGAGUUGCCUUCCUGCAAUCUGUUCACACUCUGCUCUUACUCAAGUUCCACAUGCUCUGAAAUCCCAGGACGUUGCUCUCAGCAAUUUGCCAUUCUUCCUCAAGCAUUUGGGGGUCUUUACCGUGGACCAGGCUCCAGCCUGGGGCCCCUUGGGAGGAAUGGCCCACGCGAGAUGUGGUUCUAGCAGGGGACAGAUUUAGUGAGGUGGGGCAGUGGAGGUCUUCCGUAGGGUGGCCGGAUCAUUUACCUUCAUCACCGGGACUCACAGAGUGAAGGGGCACUGUUAAUUAUUAAUUGAUAAUUAUGCCAGGACAACAGGUAUAAAUGAGGACUGUCCUACAAUAGGACGUACGGGCAGUAGUUACAGGGGAAAGGUUUCAGUUCAAAAUGAAAAGGGGCUUUCUAACAGGGAGACUCCACUAACAGUCUGAGCUAUUUUAUGAAGUAGUGGGCACUUUGUCACUGCAGAUACGCAAGAGCGUAACUAACAACUCAGGCUCCAAGAUGUUGUAUAUGGGAGACACUGACGCACCAGGAAGACACUCCGGAUAGGAUGACCCCAGCUAACCUGGGGCCCCUGCUCUCCUUUGCCUUCUUUAUUGGUGAGAUUCAGUAGCUUAUCUCAUACACGAGGACCAAAUCCUGCCAAUCCGAUUUACACAUACAUCCACACUUGGAUACAAGUGAAAUUACAGCAGGACUGAAAGCUGAAAAACUUGCUGUUUUAAUGUAAUUAAUAUUCACUGGUGCCUAUGCAUAAUGUAAACACCUUUUUGUUUAAAAUGAGAUUGGAGGGGCGCCUGGGUGGCUCCGUCCGUUGAGCGUCCGACUUCGGCUCGGGUCAUGAUCUCACUGUUCGUGGGUUUAAGCCCUGCGUCGGGCUCUGUGCUGACAGCUCGGAGCCUGGAGCCUGUUUCAGAUUCUGUGUCUCCCUUUCUGUCUCUGCCCCUCCCCUGCUCGUUCUCUGUCUCUGUCUC